AUGCCGAUACCAUGGACCCAUCUCCAGGCUCAUUACGCUGCUGCCGGACCUGCUGCCGAGACUCCAUCUCCUUCGAGUUGCGUCCCUACCGAAGCCAGCCGUCCCCGUGCCUUGAGAUCGAAGAUGCCAAGAAGACAACUAAUGUGCCAGGAGGUGAAGGUACUUAGCCACCUAGCAUUGGAUGUGAGGAGGACUUUGAGUGUCAUGGAACAUACAUGGCUGUUAGUAGUAUUUUCGACCAACCAACUUCAAUCAUUUCUUGAAUCUUAUGUGUGUUCUAGACCAUUUGGUGCUUCAAGUGUUUUGGAGUAG
rnacentral:rRNA from 1 species